rnacentral:misc_RNA from 1 species
CCUUCUCGGUUGCCUCGGCGGGCCGCGCUCUCCUGGGAGAGUCGUCCGCCGAGCCUCUUUGGGGGCUUUAGCUGGAUCGCGCCCGCCGGAGGACAGACAUCAAAAAAUCUUGGAAAGCUGUCAGUCUGAGCGUUAGCAAGUAAAAUCAGUUAAAACUUUCAACAACGGAUCUCUUGGUUCCGGCAUCGAUGAAGAACGCAGCGAAAUGCGAUAAGUAAUGUGAAUUGCAGAAUUCCGUGAAUCAUCGAAUCUUUGAACGCACAUUGCGCCCUCUGGUAUUCCGGGGGGCAUGCCUGUUCGAGCGUCAUUUCAACCCCUCAAGCCCGGCUUGUGUGAUGGACGACCGUCCGGCCCCCUCUUUCGGGGGCGGGACGCGCCCGAAAAGCAGUGGCCAGGCCGCGAUCCGGCUUCCUGGGCGAAUGGGCAGUCAAACCAGCGCCCUCGGACCGGCCGCUCUGGCCUUCCCCCAAACUCUCUGAAUUUUUU